AACGAACGCUGGCGGCGUGCCUAACACAUGCAAGUCGAACGUGAAAGUCCUUCGGGAUGAGUAAAGUGGCGCACGGGUGAGUAAUGAGUAGGAAUGUACCUAUUGGUGGGGAAUAACUUAGGGAAACUUAAGUUAAUACCGCAUGAGAUCGAAAGAUGAAAGGGGGCCUAUCCUUGGAAGCUCUCGCCAAUAGAUCAGCCUACUUCCCAUUAGCUUGUUGGUAGGGUAAUGGCCUACCAAGGCUACGAUGGGUAGCUGGUCUGAGAGGAUGAUCAGCCACACUGGAACUGAGACACGGUCCAGACUCCUACGGGAGGCAGCAGUGGGGAAUUUUGCACAAUGGGCGCAAGCCUGAUCCAGCCAUGCCGCGUGAGUGAUGAAGGCCUUAGGGUUGUAAAGCUCUUUCACCCACGACGAUAAUGACGGUAGUGGGAGAAGAAGCCCCGGCUAACUUCGUGCCAGCCGCCGCCGUAAUAC
rnacentral:rRNA from 1 species